AAGGCUUGACAUGUUCGGCAAAGUUGCUGAAAGGCAAUAGAGGUUAUCCGAACACAGGUGCUGCAUGGCCGUCGUCAGUUCGUGCCGUGAGGUGUAUGGUUAAGUCCUAUAACGAACGCAACCCUUGGGCUUAGUUACCAGCAUUCAGUUGGGGACUCUAAGCCGACUGCCCGAGUAAUCGGGAGGAAGGAAAGGAUGACGUCGUGGUCGUCAUGGCCCUUAGUCGCCGUUGGGCGACACACGU
rnacentral:rRNA from 1 species